CAAGAGCGUAUGUAAAAGUUGUUGCAGUUAAAAAGCUCGUAGUUGAACCUUGGGUUUGGUUGGCCGGUCCGCUUUUUUGCGAGUACUGGAUUCAACCGAGCCUUUCCUUCUGGCUAACCAGUCGUUUCGGCGGCUGGCGAACCAGGAUUUCUACUUUGAGAAAAUUAGAGUGUUCAAAGCAGGCAUUAGCUUGAAUAUAUUAGCAUGGAAUAAUAGAAUAGGACGUUAUGGUUCUAUUUUGUUGGUUUCUAGGACCAUCGUAAUGAUUAAUAGGGACGGUCGGGGGCAUCAGUAUUCAGUUGUCAGAGGUGAAAUUCUUGGAUUUACUGAAGACUAACUACUGCGAAAGCAUUUGCCAAGGACGUUUUCAUUAA
rnacentral:rRNA from 1 species